rnacentral:rRNA from 1 species
CCUGGUAACCAUAGCAUUUUGGAACCACCUGACCCAUGCCGAACUCAGUAGUGAAACGAAAUAGCGCGCGAUGAUAGUGUGGGG